rnacentral:rRNA from 1 species
AUGGAUCCAGACGACGGGGCGGUUGUGAAACUCCAAGGCCAUGGCGGCCUCCUUCGGUUCCCUGUCCAAAACGAGACAGAGAAAGAGAGAGUUGAGAACAGGGAAGGGAAAGAAGGCAGAGAGAAGGAAGGGAAGAAGAAAAGAGCAGGGGAGGUCGGUCCUGGUCGCCGGUGGUCUGCUCCAGUGAGCUGGCCGGUGCUCGGGCGUCUGGAGCCUCACGCGCUAGUGGCUCCAAGAGAGGGACGACGAGCAGAGGAGCUCGGGCUCUUGCAGGAUUUGGGCGGCUUCACGAUUCAUUCGAGAUUAGGGGGAGAAGAGGUAAGCUUCGGGUGCCUGGGCAAGAAGUAG